rnacentral:lncRNA from 1 species
GAAUGAUGAAGUCAUCGUUUCGGAUACAGGCAACAAAGUUUCAUUGUCUUUUGAUGCAAGCCCACACAUUCCAGGCACAGAUGUGCACAGUGGGGCAACUACUGAAAAGCAGACAAGAAGCCACUCUGUCACCAGCAUUGGGCCUGGCGCCAGGCGUCUUCCUUUCUUCGAACCCAUGACGGGGCUGAGGCCCUCAGAAGUGAGUCAUGGAGGAACGCAGGCAUCUGCCCACGGAGGGAGACCCAUUUACUCAGGGAAAAUAUCUGCAGGCAGUCUUUGUGCUUUGCUGUGCCAGAAGCUGUUAAGCCUGAUUCACACCACUGCCACUGUGGGACUGAACCCCCGCUGACGACAAAAAGAGCACAGGGAAGAAGCGAAAAUAGCUUAUUUUCAAUGACUUGCUGAAAACUCCCAGAUGUGAGCUGCGAUGGCCGUGUGGUGCACACAUUUGGGCUCUGAGUAUGGAUGUUCUCUCUAAAUAUCCCCCUGCUGCUCAGCAAAUUGAGGGAUCUGAAUCUGUGCGUCCAGGAAAUGUUUUAUACUCAGAAGAAGAGGAAAUGAACCAAAAAUAGGGUCAAAUGCAGUUGAAUACCAGCAAUUUCCUAUAAACUACCUACUAGAUUAACUGUGCAAACAAGAUUACAACUUUCUAAAGAACCAAAGUACUUCCACU